GCCUGAGUGGCUCAGUGGUUGAGCAUCUGCCUUCAGCUUAGGUCAUGAUCCUGAGGUCUUGGGAUCGAGUCCCACAUCGGGCU
rfam:Canis lupus familiaris chromosome 5, whole genome shotgun sequence.